rnacentral:lncRNA from 8 species
AUGAUAGCAUACGUGGACUGUCUGUCCACCGAGCCGGUGGGGGGAGGAGGCGUGGGGGCUCAAUGCUGGAAGGGGGGCUUCAGCGAGGAUGAGGACGAGCUGCUUCCGGCCUGCUCGAAAGAUGUUCAAAAGAUGCUCUCCCUGCAGCCCAAGAGCGAGGGCAGUCUGCGACGUCGGCUGCUCACCUCCAAGAUCCACCAGCAACGAGACGGACCGUGGGCGUCCAGGCCACUCACCCGGGGACAACCGGACAACAAGGGCCUCCAGGGGCCACUACACAGACAGGACUACCCCUACCCUGGCCCCAGCCCCCCCGGCCUGGUGCUCCACAAUCAAGCAGGCUACUCCUCCAGGGGCUCCCAGCAACACACGCUUGGCUACUCCCUGACCGAGCUACGGAAGACCAGCUACUCUCCCCCCACUCCCGACCAUCAUCCUGGGUACAGCUUCCCCCCACCACCUCUUUCUCCUCCAGGAGCAGCCAGCUACAGUCACACUGGACCCUCAGGCUACCCAAACCCUGGACCCCCAGGAUACUCAAACUCUGCACUCCAAGGCUACCCUAAUCGUGGAUCUGCUGGGUACCCCAACUCUAACCCAGGACACUGUAAACCAGCCUACAACACCACCCCCAGCAGCAGCCCUAACCCAGGACACUGUAACCCAGCCUACAACACCACCCCCAGCAGCAGCCCUAACCCAGGAUGCCACAACACUGCCCAAGGACCCAGAAACACUUACCUCAACUCUGGAUAUCCUUCCCCAAGACUGGAAUACGGCCCUACCUCCCUCCCAGGACCAGGCUAUAGCUCCACCUCUGGGUUUGCUCCCCAGUCCCAGCCCAGCCUCCCCACUCCUCCACCCAAGCAGAGAAAGAGGUUCUCUGCCUUUAACCUGCUCCAACGGCACAGCUACAACACCAGCCAGAUCCCCUUCUCACACACCCCCCUCUUACGGACCCCCAAACGCCAAGACUGGAGAGGUAGGCAGCAGUAUUCACUUUUCACUUUUGUUUUAGACUCUGUUGUUUUGUUGUUGUUGGGUUUUUUUAAACUGUAA